AUGACUGCCAACGAUUAUCCAUCAUUAUGGGGCUUUGGAACAACAAAAACAUUUAAAAUUCCUGUGGAACAUUUGGAUUUUAAGUAUAUUGAAAAAUGUUCAGAUGUUAAACACUUGGAAAAAAUUCUUUAUGUGCUCAGGUCUGGUGAGGAAGGAUAUUAUCCUGAACUUACGGAAUUCUGUGAAAAUCGUCUUAAAGGCUUGGCUCCUGAAAGUAGAGCUUUGAGGAAAGAUAAACCUGCAGCAACAGCAGCCAGUUUUACAGCAGAAGAAUGGGAAAAAAUUGACGGUGAUAUAAAGAGUUGGGUGUCGGAAAUUAAAAAAGACGAAAAUAAAAUGCACUUUCAUGAAACUGAAACAUCUCCAGCAAUGGAAGAUCAUUUGCCUCCAGUUCGUGGUUCAAACAGCCGUGUUCAUGUUAGUAAGGAAAAAUAUUCUAAUAGCAGACGACCUAAAAAGAAAAUUCCGAGGGAUUAUGCAGAAUGGGAUAAGUUUGACGUGGAAAAGGAAUGUUCAAAAAUUGAUGAAGAUUACAAAGAAAAAACUAUAGUAAACAACAAGUCACAUUUGUCUAAAAUUGAGACAAGAAUAGACACAGCAGGUCUAACUGAGAAGGAAAAGACUUUUCUUGCUACUCAUGAAAAGGAAAAAGGAAAUGAAGCUUUUAACUCAGGGGACUAUGAAGAGGCUGUGAUGUAUUAUACUAGGAGCAUAUCCGUGCUCCCCACCGUGGCAGCCUAUAACAACCGUGCUCAAGCAGAACUCAAACUACAGAACUGGAACAGUGCUUUCCGGAAUUGUGAAAAGGUCUUGGAGUUAGAACCUGGAAACUUGAAAGCUCUUCUGCGCCGUGCCACUACAUAUAAACAUCAGAACAAGCUCCAGGAAGCUAUAGAAGAUUUGAAUAAAGUACUGAAUGUUGAACCUGAUAAUGAGUUGGCCAAAAAGUCCUUGUCGGAGGUUGAGAGAGAUCUGAAAAAUUCUGAACCUGCAUCUAGGGCUCAAACCAAAGGGAAGAGAAUGGUUAUCCAGGAAAUAGAAAACACAGAGGAUGAAUGUGGGAAGGACAGCGGAAGAGCCCAGGAAGACGGCAGUGGAGAUAAGAGUAAAACAUUUUUCCUCUUUUGGUUACACAAAAACCUCCCUUUUUGUAUGGGCUGGCUCAAAUUUUCUAUUUCUACCAAAAUUCUUAGUCCGCCAAAACUUUUCUAG